AGAGUUUGAUCCUGGCUCAGGAUGAACGCUAGCGGGAGGCCUAACACAUGCAAGCUGAGCGGUAGAGAUCUUUCGGGAUCUUGAGAGCGGCGUACGGGUGCGGAACACGUGUGCAACCUGCCUUUAUCAGGGGGAUAGCCUUUCGAAAGGAAGAUUAAUACCCCAUAAUAUUUUGAGUGGCAUCACUUGAAAUUGAAAACUGAGGUGGAUAAAGAUGGGCACGCGCAAGAUUAGAUAGUUGGUGAGGUAACGGCUCACCAAGUCGAUGAUCUUUAGGGGGCCUGAGAGGGUGAUCCCCCACACUGGUACUGAGACACGGACCAGACUCCUACGGGAGGCAGCAGUGAGGAAUAUUGGACAAUGGGUUAGCGCCUGAUCCAGCCAUCCCGCGUGAAGGACGACGGCCCUAUGGGUUGUAAACUUCUUUUGUACAGGGAUAAACCUAUCUACGUGUAGAUAGCUGAAGGUACUGUACGAAUAAGCACCGGCUAACUCCGUGCCAGCAGCCGCGGUAAUACGGAGGGUGCAAGCGUUAUCCGGAUUUAUUGGGUUUAAAGGGUCCGUAGGCGGAUGUGUAAGUCAGUGGUGAAAUCUCACAGCUCAACUGUGAAACUGCCAUUGAUACUGCGUGUCUUGAGUGAGGUUGAAGUAGCUGGAAUAAGUAGUGUAGCGGUGAAAUGCAUAGAUAUUACUUAGAACACCAAUUGCGAAGGCAGGUUACUAAGUCUCAACUGACGCUGAUGGACGAAAGCGUGGGGAGCGAACAGGAUUAGAUACCCUGGUAGUCC
rnacentral:rRNA from 1 species